UACGAAGGGGGCUAGCGUUGCUCGGAAUCACUGGGCGUAAAGCGCACGUAGGCGGCUUCUUAAGUCAGGGGUGAAAUCCUGGAGCUCAACUCCAGAACUGCCUUUGAUACUGAGAGGCUCGAGUCCGGGAGAGGUGAGUGGAACUCCGAGUGUAGAGGUGAAAUUCGUAGAUAUUCGGAAGAACACCAGUGGCGAAGGCGACACACUGGCCCGUUACUGACGCUGAGGCGCGAAAGCGUGGGGAGCAAACAGG
rnacentral:rRNA from 1 species